UUGUGAUCCAACCUUAUGUUGCCUCCAUGGAAGCUCUUGUCGCUGCAUGGCUGCCAGGAAGCGAGGGUCAAGGAGUUGCUGAUGUGUUGUUUGGUGAUUUUGGCUUUACUGGCAAGCUUUCAUUCACCUGGUUCAAGACUGUUGAUCAGUUGCCAAUGCAUGUUGGAGAUCCACAUUAUGAUCCCCUCUUCCCAUUAGGAUUUGGCCUCACCACUCAACCAGCCAAAGCACAGUAGCCAAUCUUUUCUAUAAGUUACAUCUACUUUCAAGUAGUUUGAAUCCAUUUACAAACUUCAUUUAUAUUUUUUUCUAUCCUAGUUUUGAAUUUUUUUUUAUCUUAUUUCUAUAUUAUAUGUAAUUAUUUAUCUUUAUCUUUAAUUUUAUAAAUAGAAGUUUUUGUUAAUAAAUCAAGUGGAGAGAUUUCAUAAGCCUCCCAUUACUUCAAUACAAGAGUCCAACUAUAGCAACUACUAUUAGUAAAACUGAAUAUUGAAAAAUAAAUCUCAUCAACUUCUUCUAAAGCUACAUCAAAUGAUCACCUUCACAUCAACAAUUUCCAUCUAUUCACAUCUAUUCUAACACGAACCAUUCAUUAUUUUCAUAUUCUUCCAAUUCCAAAGUUCCACAAGUAUUUUACUGUAACUUCUAGGUGUCAUCUUCAUAUCAGAGUGAUGGAUAUAUGAACUCCAGGGGGAAUAUAACAUCUACGAGAGCAUUAGAUAUAUUAUUAUAAAGCAAUACUGAAAAUGUAAAACAUACCAGUGCAUUGUGCUAUGACAUCAUCAGUCCAUGUCUGCAAUUACAGAGCAACUUCGCCUUGUUCUCAGCUUCUUUAAUCUGCCUCAGGAUUUCAGAUUUUUUCUCUAGUUGGGCAUCUAAUAUGGUAUUAAUUUUCUCAAACUGCUGCUUUAGCUUAUUAAAAUCUUUGCUUUUGUUCUUCCUCUCAAAAUUUCUUUUCUUUUCUCACUUUCAUUGUAUUUAUCUUCAUCUUUCUUUUUGCCUCCCUUUGCUUUACCCUUUUGCUUCCCUUCUGAUUCUUUCCUGAUAUUUUCUAUUACUAUCCUGGAGGCUAUGCCACUCAUGCUUCACAACAAUUUUUCCGGCUUCCUCUUUUUUCUCCUCCUUAUCUGUUUCUUUCCUCUUCUUUUUCUCUAUCCUUGUGCUUUGCAUCUUUAUUGUCGUUUGUCUUUCUUCUUAUCCUUUGUUAUGGGAUAUAAUUUGGUUGCAAAUGGAUUCAAAAUU
rnacentral:lncRNA from 1 species